CAGUAGGGAAUCUUCGGCAAUGGGGGCAACCCUGACCGAGCAACGCCGCGUGAGUGAAGAAGGUUUUCGGAUCGUAAAGCUCUGUUGUAAAGAGAAGAACGUGUGUGAGAGUGGAAAGUUCACACAGUGACGGUAACUUACCAGAAAGGGACGGCUAACUACGUGCCAA
rnacentral:rRNA from 1 species